ensembl:lncRNA LINC00613 long intergenic non-protein coding RNA 613
CAAAGAACAGAAAAAAAUAUUUGAAGAAAAGAAGAAAAGAUCUAACCUUCAUUAUACAGGAUUGCACAGAUUGCCUUUUGUGAUAAAAAGAGGAAGAAAAAUGGCAGCAACCCAGAUUAUUAUUAUACUUAAAUGGUCUCUCACACUUUAUGAAGAUCUUUGUGUAAAAGUAUUAAGCAGUCCAUUUAACAGAGAAGUAUGUUUGUUUCACAUGUAUCAGAAAAUGUGAGUCUUAAUUAAAAUAGAUCCUGACGUCAAA